GACGAACGCUGGCGGCGUGCCUAAUACAUGCAAGUCGAACGAACCGCGACUAGGUGCUUGCACUUGGUCAAGGUGAGUGGCGAACGGGUGAGUAACACGUGGGUAACCUACCUCAUAGUGGGGGAUAACAGUCGGAAACGACUGCUAAUACCGCAUAGGACAUAGGAUCACAUGAUCCAGUGAGGAAAGGUGGCGCAAGCUAUCGCUAAGAGAUGGACCCGCGGUGCAUUAGCUAGUUGGUAGGGUAAAGGCCUACCAAGGCGAGGAUGCAUAGCCGACCUGAGAGGGUGGUCGGACACACUGGAACGGAGACACGGCACGGACCCCUACGGGAGGCAGCGGUGGGGAAUCUAACAUAAUGGACGGGAGGCUGACGGAGCCACGCCGCGCGAGUGGAAAAGGUCUUCGGAUAGUGAAGCUAUGUUGUUAGUGAAGAAGAGCGCAUAGAGUAACUGUUAGGUUUGUGACGGUACCUAGCCAGAAAGCAACGGCUAACUACGUG
rnacentral:rRNA from 1 species